UUCUAGCUAGUUUCACGCCAGGUAGUGGUAC
rnacentral:piRNA from 1 species